rnacentral:rRNA from 1 species
UGCAAGUCGAGGGGAAACACGGGGAAGCUUGCUUCCCCGGGCGUCGACCGGCGCACGGGUGAGUAACGCGUAUCCAACCUGCCUCUGACUGAGGGAUAACCCGUCGAAAGUCGGCCUAAUACCUCAUGGCAUCGUCUGCGGGCAUCCAACGACGAUUAAAGAUUUCAUCGGUCAGGGAUGGGGAUGCGUCUGAUUAGCUAGUUGGCGGGGUAACGGCCCACCAAGGCUACGAUCAGUAGGGGUUCUGAGAGGAAGGUCCCCCACAUUGGAACUGAGACACGGUCCAAACUCCUACGGGAGGCAGCAGUGAGGAAUAUUGGUCAAUGGGCGGGAGCCUGAACCAGCCAAGUAGCGUGCAGGAAGACGGCCCUAUGGGUUGUAAACUGCUUUUAUGCGGGGAUAAAGUGAGGGACGUGUCCUUCAUUGCAGGUACCGCAUGAAUAAGGACCGGCUAAUUCCGUGCCAGCAGCCGCGGUAAUACGGAAGGUCCGGGCGUUAUCCGGAUUUAUUGGGUUUAAAGGGAGCGUAGGCCGCGGAUUAAGCGUGUUGUGAAAUGCAGGUGCUCAACGUCUGCACUGCAGCGCGAACUGGUCCACUAGAGUGUGCGCAACGCAGGCGGAAUUCGUCGUGUAGCGGUGAAAUGCUUAGAUAUGACGAAGAACUCCGAUUGCGAAGGCAGCUUGCGGGAGCAC